CAGGCAGGCAGUUGACUUCCAUUAUUACAUCACCACAGCAGUAAAGACAGACAGGCAGGCAGUUGACUUCCAUUAUUACAUCACCACAGCAGUAAAGACAGGCAGGCAGUUGACUUCCAUUAUUACAUCACCACAUGUCACGUCCUGACCAGUAGAGGGUGUAGUUGGGUCAGGACGUGGCAGAAGGGAACAGCCGUUACAGAAUUACCCACCAAACCAGGACCAAGCGGCGGAAGAGGAAGGAGCAGUAGGAGUACAGCGUUAUGGACGAAUGGACUUGGGAACAAAUCCUGGACGGAGAGGGACCAUGGACUCAGGCUGGGGAUUAUCGCCUCCCGCAGUGGGAGAUUGAAGCGGCGAGAGCGGAGAGGCGCUAUUACGAGGAGAGAGAGCGCAACGAGCGCGAGUGGCAGCCCCAAUAAUUUUUUGGGGGGGGGCACACGGGACAGUCGGUGGAGCUGAGGUCAGAACCAGAGCCAGUCGGGAUGACAUUGGAGGUGAGCGAGGGAUAUGAGACAGAGACUGUGACGGGGUUAAUGGGGAAAUUAGGAGAGAGAGAGAUGAGAGAGCUGCUAGUAUGGUGCAUAAAGUACGGCAUUCGCCCUAAUGAGCGUGUCGUGGGAAUGAUGUCACCUGAGGCAGCUCUCCAUACUCGUCCUGAGGUGCGUGCUGGUUGUCUGGUAAAGACUGUGCCUGCGCCCAGAAACAGGCCUCCUGCAUGUCUUCCCAGCCCUGCACGUCCUGUGCCUACGCCCAGAACCAAGCUUCCUGCAUGUCUUCCCAUCCUGGUCAAGCCCGUGCCUCCUCCACGGACCAGUACUCCAGUGGGUCUCCCUAUCCUGGUCAAGCCCGUGCCUCCUCCACGGACCAGUACUCCAGUGGGUCUCCCUAUCCUUGUCAAGCCCGUGUCUCCUCCACAGACCAGUCCUCCAGUGGGUCUCUCCACCCUGGUCUCUCCUGUGCCAACUCCUCAAACCAGGCAUCCAGCGGGUCUUCCCAGACUGGUGAGUCCAGGGCCUGCGCCCAGAGCCAGGUCUCUGUUAUGUCUCCCCAGCCUGGUGAAUCCUGAGCCGGAACCACCAGAGCUGCCCGCCAGUCAACAGUCGUCAGAGCUGCCCGCCAGUCAACAGUCGUCAGAGCUGCCCGCCAGUCAACAGUCGUCAGAGCUGCCCGCCAGUCAACAGUCGUCAGAACUGCCGGAGUGGCCAGACUGCCCUGAACCGCCGGAGUGGCCAGACUGCCCUGAACCGCCGGAGUGGCCAGACUGCCCUGAACCGCCGG
rnacentral:lncRNA from 1 species